UACGUAGGCAGCGAGCGUUGUUCGGAGUUACUGGGCGUAAAGAGUGCGUAGGCGGUUUUCUAAGUUUGGUGUGAAAUCUCCCGGCUUAACUGGGAGGGUGCGCCGAAAACUGGAAAGCUGGAGUGUGGGAGAGGUAAGCGGAAUUCCUGGUGUAGCGGUGAAAUGCGUAGAUAUCAGGAGGAACACCGGUGGCGAAGGCGGCCUGCGU
rnacentral:rRNA from 1 species